UACAGAGGGUGCGAGCGUUGUUCGGAAUUAUUGGGCGUAAAGGGCGCGUAGGCGGUGCGGUAAGUCACCUGUGAAAUCUCCUGGCUCAACUGGGAGCUUGCAGGCGAAACUGCCGUGCUGGAGUGUGGGAGAGGUGCGUGGAAUUCCUGGUGUAGCGGUGAAAUGCGUAGAUAUCAGGAGGAACACCUGUGGCGAAAGCGGCGCACUGGACUACAACUGACGCUGAGGCGCGAAAGCUAGGGGAGCAAACAGG
rnacentral:rRNA from 1 species